GACGAACGCUGGCGGCGUGCUUAACACAUGCAAGUCGAACGGAAAGGCCCUGCUUUUGUGGGUUGCUCGAGUGGCGAACGGGUGAGUAACACGUGAGUAACCUGCCCUUGACUUUGGGAUAACUUCAGGAAACUGGGGCUAAUACCGGAUAUGAGCUCCUGCUGCAUGGUGGGGGUUGGAAAGUUUCGGCGGUUGGGGAUGGACUCGCGGCUUAUCAGCUUGUUGGUGGGGUAGUGGCUUACCAAGGCUUUGACGGGUAGCCGGCCUGAGAGGGUGACCGGCCGCAUUGGGACUGAGAUACGGCCCAGACUCCUACGGGAGGCAGCAGUGGGGAAUCUUGCACAAUGGGCGGACGCCUGAUGCAGAAACGCCGCGUGCGGGAUGACGGCCUUCGGGUUGUAAACCGCUUUCGCCUGUGACGAAGCGUGAGUGACGGUAAUGGGUAAAGAAGCACCGGCUAACUACGUG
rnacentral:rRNA from 1 species